rnacentral:tRNA from 1 species
GAUGUGGCUUAGUGGUAAAACAUUUGCCUAGUAUGCAUAAAGGCCUGGGUUCAAUCCCCAGUAGCAUCA